rnacentral:rRNA from 1 species
AACGAACGCUGGCGGCAGGCUUAACACAUGCAAGUCGAACGGGCAUAGCAAUAUGUCAGUGGCAGACGGGUGAGUAACGCGUGGGAAUAUGCCCUUUAGUUCGGAAUAACCAAGGGAAACUUUGGCUAAUACCGGAUAAGCCCGAGAGGGGAAAGAUUUAUCGCUGAAGGAGUAGCCCGCGUCUGAUUAGCUAGUUGGUGAGGUAAUGGCUCACCAAGGCGACGAUCAGUAGCUGGUCUGAGAGGAUGAUCAGCCACACUGGGACUGAGACACGGCCCAGACUCCUACGGGAGGCAGCAGUGGGGAAUAUUGGACAAUGGGGGCAACCCUGAUCCAGCCAUGCCGCGUGAGUGAUGAAGGCCUUAGGGUUGUAAAACUCUUUUAUCCGGGAAGAUAAUGACUGUACCGGAAGAAUAAGCCCCGGCUAACUUCGUGCCAGCCGCCGCCGUAACAC